CUACCACAAAGCUUGACAAAGGGUGGUAGUAGAAUUACUGCAUGCAAAGGGUUGAAAUACCAGCAUUUGAAAUACCUUGAGGUAUACCCGAAAUAGCACAUGGGGCAGAAUGACCAGCUUUGGAAAAAAUGGUUUUUAAAUAGCAAAA